UGACGAGUGGCGAACGGGUGAGUAAUAUAUCGGAACGUGCCCAGUCGUGGGGGAUAACGUAGCGAAAGUUACGCUAAUACCGCAUACGAUCUAAGGAUGAAAGCGGGGGAUCGCAAGACCUCGCGCGAUUGGAGCGGCCGAUAUCAGAUUAGGUAGUUGGUGGGGUAAAGGCUCACCAAGCCAACGAUCUGUAGCUGGUCUGAGAGGACGACCAGCCACACUGGAACUGAGACACGGUCCAGACUCCUACGGGAGGCAGCAGUGGGGAAUUUUGGACAAUGGACGCAAGUCUGAUCCAGCCAUUCCGCGUGCAGGAUGAAGGCCCUCGGGUUGUAAACUGCUUUUGUACGGAACGAAAAGGUCUCUAUUAAUACUAGGGGCUCAUGACGGUACCGUAAGAAUAAGCACCGGCUAACUACGUGCCAGCAGCCGCGGUAAUACGUAGGGUGCAAGCGUUAAUCGGAAUUACUGGGCGUAAAGCGUGCGCAGGCGGUUAUGUAAGACAGAGGUGAAAUCCCCGGGCUCAACCUGGGAACUGCCUUUGUGACUGCAUAGCUAGAGUACGGUAGAGGGGGAUGGAAUUCCGCGUGUAGCAGUGAAAUGCGUAGAUAUGCGGAGGAACACCGAUGGCGAAGCCAAUCCCCUGGACCUGUACUGACGCUCAUGCACGAAAGCGUGGGGAGCAAACAGGAUUAGAUACCCUGGUAGUCCACGCCCUAAACGAUGUCAACUGGUUGUUGGGUCUUCACUGACUCAG
rnacentral:rRNA from 1 species